rnacentral:misc_RNA from 1 species
GAUGAAGAACGCAGCGAAACGCGAUAUGUAAUGUGAAUUGCAGAAUUCAGUGAAUCAUCGAAUCUUUGAACGCACAUGGCGCCUUCCAGUAUCCUGGGAGGCAUGCCUGUCCGAGCGUCGUUUCAACCCUCGAGCCCUCGUGGCCCGGCGUUGGGGAUCUGCACGGCAGGCCCCGAAAUACAGUGGCGGACCCGUUAGGCCCUUCCUUUGCGUAGUAGCAUUAGCCUCGCAUCGGGAGCCGGCGGGCUCUCCUGCCUCUAAACCCCCCAACAAGCCCGCUUCGGCGGCACCAAGGUUGACCUCGGAUCAGGCAGGAAUACCCGCUGAACUUAAGCAUAUCAAUAAGCGGAGGA